rnacentral:rRNA from 1 species
CACGUAGGCACCAAGCGUUGUCCGGAUUUAUUGGGCGUAAAGAGCUCGUAGGCGGUUCGGUAAGUCGGGUGUGAAAACUCUGGGCUCAACCCAGAGCCGCCACCCGAUACUGCUGUGACUUGAGUGCGGUAGGGGAGCGGGGAAUUCCUGGUGUAGCGGUGAAAUGCGCAGAUAUCAGGAGGAACACCAGUGGCGAAGGCGGGUCUCUGGGCCGAUACUGACGCUGAGGAGCGAAAGCGUGGGGAGCGAACAGG